GGAAGCUGAAGUCCAGAGGCUCUAUUCAGUCAAGGGGUGAUGAACUCUCUUUGGGUCUGGAGACAGGCUGGAACUGGGAUGAGAUAUGGAGACCCUGCCAUUUACGACAACGUGGAUGUAUCUGCAGGACAUUAAGACAAGUGCAAUAAGCAAGACACGGAAAGAAAAUAUAGCAUGGUCUCUCUUAUAUGUGGAAUUUUAAAAAUUAACUCUGAAUACUUUGGAUUAAACUGAUGCAGCAGUCAUCCAAGAGAUGUCCACAUAUGUACUCCUGUUAAUGUUAGUUCCUUUCAUCCAAGCCAUCAGAGGUUCUCCCUGGAUCUCAUUUUUGGGGUGAUGUCCUAUACUUUUUUUUAAAUCUCCAUUAACUCCUCUCCUUAGUGGUUUUAAUGGCAUAUUCAUACAAUAUUAGAAUGAAAUUUGUGAGUCAAUAUUAAUUUCCAGGUUCAUAGUCUCACAGCUUGAACACAAACUAUUCAGACCUUUGAAAUUACCUUUAUUUCUUUACUUCCAGAGUAGCUGACUUUUUCAUUCUCUGCUGGAGCGUUUGGGCUGAUUCAUCACCCCCUCCCCCACCACCAUUCACUGAAUGUAGCCACUGGUCGUGGCUGCCUUUUCUGCUAUUUUAUAGAACCAAGCCUGAAUCUAUAAAGCGCUUCCCUUGGUACCUCCCAGAAACUUUUUAUUGCCUGUCUCUUUCUGUCAACUCAGUUGCAGAAAAAUACAUUUUAUGGCUCCAGUAAUUUAAGAAAGCUCUGAAAAAUCAAAUCUGUCCAUGGCAGUGCUAGCAUACUGUCUAUUAGAUUAAAUGAAGCUGUAAGCAUCUUUGAAGUACAAAUGAUACUUGGAAAGUAAAUGAAACUGGGAAUACUUGCAAGUAAAAUAUGGGAAGUCAAAGAGAUUAAAGGAUGAGAACCAGAAAUUGCUUAUGGCCAGUGUCCUGAACAUUGUUCCAGGCUCUGAGUUACACCUGCGGUCAAAAUGGACAAAAUCUUGAUCCAGUUGAGGUGAAAUUGAAGAAGGGAGAAAUGCACAGCAAAGAAAUGGAUACAUAAAUAUUCAGUGUCUCAGGAGGUAAUAGGUCUUCUGGGAGAAAUACAAAGCAGGAUAUAACGGAAAUGUGAUAGGGCUGCUAUUAAUACUAUUGCUAAAUUAAUUAGAGAAGACUUCUCUGAUAAGGUGAUAUUUGAAAAGAUGCAUUAAGGUUGAGAUGGAGGAAGCCAUAUAACUAUCUGGGAGAAUGGUGUUCUAGGUGUCCUGUGAUGUCAGCACGCUUUGGAAAGUUUGGGGAACAGCCAAGGAUGACAAUGUUACUGUAGCAGAGAGCAGCAGGAGAAUGAUAAAAAAUGAGGUCUAUAAGGGAGUGAAAUUUUAGGCCACAGAAAGGACUUUGAAUCUUACUUUUUUAGUUGAAAAUUCGUUUGAGCAUUUGAGCAAAGUAGUGAUAUCAACUGAUUUAUGUUUUUAAGGAAACAUUAUGAGGGCUGGCUGUGGAAUAUUUAGUAAAAUGACAAGAAUGAGAAGAGGGAAUUUCUCUUUAAAGUAGCUGUGGAUAAUGCAGGCAAAAUGAUUGAUGUCUAUUUCAAUUACACAGAUAGUUUGAAUGAUUGACUCCAGCAUACAAAGUAAAACAAUCUACUGUAUUUAGUAUUUAUAGUGUAAACAAAAUACUCUCCGAUUUUUUAGUAAUUCAUAUUUUAGGAGGAUAUUAAUAAUAACCAUAAAUAUUUAUAUUCAUGGAGAGUGUUUCUUAUAUUCUUAUGAAGCUCAAAAUUUACUAUCAUCAGUUAGUUCCUUUUACUAAUGCAUUAUGAAGAGUUCUGUGUGCACUCCCAGUAUGACCUAUUCAUUUCAUACUCAUUAAGAAAUUAAUGUUUUUCAAGCAAAUGUUACAAAUGAAUGUUUAAUUUAGUGGCAAUUAAGAAUGUAUAUUUACAGAACAUUUCUUAUUAAUUAACACAUGGCUAAACAUAGAAAAGUUUGACCUUCCACUGUAACUACUCACCUGACUCUGCAUUAUUUUCAAAACCACCGGAACUUGAUCCGACCUGGUCAUGUCUCCCUCUGCAAACACAUUCCUUCCUAAUGAGGUCCUACUCCCCAGGUGGUAUGCAGCAAAUUCAGUUCUUUGCAUUUUUCUGUACAGUCCAACACUUAAACAUCCAGCUGAUUCUGAGGAAGGCUUAAUAUCCAGAAGCAAUUCUGAUAAGCAGCUGUUAUAAAAUGCCUUCCCAUUCCUAUUUGAAAUGAGCAAAAUGAGGGACUUACCUCAAAAUCAGGUCUUUAGUACAAACAGUACAUGUUUAGAUGUACACAUGAGUGCUAGCCCUCAGAAUCACAAAUUAGAGGAAAAACUCCAUAUUUAUUUUACUAGCUUUUUCCCGCUUUUUUUCCUCCUUGGGCUUUUCUUCUCAUUAAAAGGCAAGAUUGACAUCAAAUAGUAGCAAACUAUGUUGUAAAAUUUUUACCAAACCAGUCAACUAGUUUCUGAAUGCGUGUGUUCAUCAAAGACUGGGGGAAUAAAACAGGUCACAGCCUGCUAUUGGAAGCUUAGCGAAAUCAUCUGUGUUCUUCUUCCUCAUCAUAAUUCCCCAAAGAAAAGAUUAUAAACAUAUUCUGCUCAUGUUAUACUUAAUCAAACAUUAAUUAAAUACAAUACCUAAGGCUCUGAGUCCCAACUGUAGACCAUAAUGGUUUUACAGUUCACUUCAACUCUUUAGGAUAAAUAGCCUGCCAUUAAAGGCACUAGCUGUGCUUACAAUUUUUUUUUAAAUUGUAGUCAUUUUGCUAAUUAUAGAGUCACGGAGAAAUAAGAGAUAGUUUUGUCUACUACUUUGUCAUCACUAAACAAUGUUUUCUGGGAUUUUGAAAUUGGUAUUUUGUUUGUUAUGCAUUAGCCAUGGAUAAGAGAAUUAAUAGGACCAUAGUUAUUUUCUCAUGAAUGUUAUGCAUUAAUGUUUUGAAAAGGUUAUUUGAGGAUGGGUACUUAAGAUUGUUAGAACUAGUAAGCAAUUAAUCAUUGCAGAUUUAUGCCAUAAUGUACUUAAGUAACAACAAGCUUUUUUUUUCUUAAAUGUUAAUUAAGUAUCCUCUCAAUUUAUACAACUCUACGAUGUUUCUAUACCACUCAUAUGGCCCAACUUGUAUUUAGGCUUACAACUAUUUUUUAUGAGAAUGAGUAAUGAUUUACAUCUUUUAUUUGUCCCACUUAUUCAGGACAUAUGCAUUUUUCAAAUAAAUGAAUGAAUCACAAAAAGGGGACCCGUUUUGGAAUGUUAUGUGAGCAUUUUAUGAUAUGUGUUUCUGAGUUCUCACAGCCCUAAGCGAUAGAGUUAUGAUCUAAGUUUCACAGGUGAAGUUCUUAAGACAUACAGAAGUUAAGCAGUUUGACCCAACUAAGUAAGUGGUAAAGCCAGGAUCUAAAUCAGGAUCCAUUCUUGCACCAUUAACCUUUAGAGAAUAUUCUUUCUCAUUUAAUUUUGCA
rnacentral:lncRNA from 1 species